CAAGCCUUAAGACGCAAUGCCCACAAAAGUUGUUCCAUCUUGAAGAACGAGGCGUUAGCCAACGGAGCCCCGAAAUUUCAACGGGAGGAAACCUCGAAGCAAGAGGCAAAAAAAGGAUCGAACGAGAAGCCACGGAUGCUCGAGAGCUGCUCUAACGGGAAACCAAGUCAGUUCUUAGCCAGAAUUGGCCCGCUUACCAUCCUCUCGUUGUCAGAUUAGGCAAAUCAGAAGGAGACUAGUGUCCAUAAGUCACAAGAACUGCCGUGUGAGUACUCAGAAGCAGAACCAUUCAAGCCAGGGCCCGUUAGUGACAUCUUCCUCGAGCAUGCUCCAAGUGUGUGCUCAAAAUCGCCACAGCCUCUGACAUCGACAUCAAUUGAGGAGUUUUUGCAUCUCCUUACGAGAGGCUUCAACAACAAGAUGAUGCACAAGACCCCACUCGCUCAGAUGUUGUUGACUUGGAUCUUAUUGAGCUUGGUGGCCACCACAACGGCCUUUGAAUGCUACACGGGCAAUGAUGACACCAUGAGGAGCAAACAGUGUCCCUCAUUUGGUGCCAUGAAGUUAGACGUCUGCUUCAAAAGGACAGGUGACAUGUCGGAUGAUGUGCAGAGGGGAUGCUUCAAUAGCCAAAUUGCUUCUUUCAUCAUUGACGACGACAAACAGGACGCUUCAAAGGUCGAAGGGUGCAUGAACAUUCCCGAGAAAUACGGAGCAGGCAGCAUUUGCCUGUGCCGGUCAGCUCUGUGCAAUGGAGUCCAAUCACACCAAUCGUUCCAUUCAAUAUUUCUUCUUGUGACAACCAUGACCUUGCUUUCCCUACGAUACGUGUCCUGGACAUAACCUCGAGACUUUGUGUACGUAUUUGUGUCUUUGUAUGUUACUGAGAAGAACUUGAAAAGAAUCUAUUAGAAGCUAAUACAAAAGAAAAUGACUUGA